CCCCCCUUCCUUACCUCGUGCCCGGACCGCAUCUCUCUUUCCCCUCUCGCACGUCUCCCUUUUUCCUCUCUUCUUCCCCUGCAAGAAAACGAACGAGAGGAGAAACCCUCUGUACCGCGCCCCCCGCCAUCGUUUGGCCACCUCUGGCCGCCCCUCACCUCACCGACGCCGCUUCGAGCUCCGCCUCCCUCUCCUCGGUCUUCUGGUGGCUUCAAUUCGAGCAGAGGGCCCCUACAACGUCGCCACGGAUCUCCUUCCCGAACUCCGGCCGCCGUCGUUUUCUUCAAAUUCCGGCCACCGUCGACCUCCUCCGGCACCGGCGAGCAGACGUUGAGCUUCGGGUUUCCUCGACGCCGGCGGCCUUCCGACGACCUCCUCCUGGCGGCGCCUCUCCCUCUCGCUCCGCGCCGAUGAGGCGCACUCUAGGCGCCCUCGCGCGCAUCCUGGGAUACCCCCUACCGCCCGCGCGCGACGACGGCCCGCCACGGUGACCACCGCCCUGCCGCGACGCGUGCGGCAUCGAACCCCUGCCGAACACCUUCCGCGCGCGCCUCGCAAGGUCUGCCAGCGUGGCCUCCACGUCAGCGCUGGGCCCGCUCGUCAGCCUCACGGGUUAGCACCCCGCUCGCAUUUGCUUCUUCCCGGAUAGGAUCACGAAGUGUUGAUGUGAGAUACGAUGAGUUCUUCGACAAGUUCUUCUGCAGCUUUUCUCAGGCGA